AACCCAAGGUCAGAGCAGAAAUUUAGCAACAUUUUUGUCUGUGGUAGCAUAGAAAAUAAAAAGCUAUGCCUAAUGAGCUUGAGGAUUUAGCUAAAGAGAUUUCCAAAGAAAGCUGUUAGUUACUAUCCAGCUUCUUUUUGUCAUUUGUACAAUGUGUGAGGUGAAAGAAGACCAGGGAGAGGGAAGUCAAGUCUGAAAGCUCUAAAAUAAUUCACUUAAACCAGCCUACCAAAACUUUUCAAAGCAAUGAACUAGAAAAUACUUUGAGUAAAGGUCAAAAGGCAGGAUCUGGCAUGAAAAAGGCUAGCCCAGAGUACAAAAAGAAGUCUGAUGUGUGACUGUAAACCUUUUUAUUAGAACCUCACAAAUCUUAGAGUUGAAUCCAGCCAAGCUGAAGACCACUUAAGGAGAUGAAGAGUAUACUAAAAAGAUUUUUCCAACCAGACAAUAGAGCUCACAGGAAGUGGAAGGGUAUGGCAGAAGCCAAGAGGGUUACCUAGAGAAAGUUUGUGAGCAUGUUUUUUGCUGUUGUUUUUAUCUAAUAGAUUUAGUCUCCACAUGUUUCAUAGAAAGUCUAGAAAUUACUCAGAAGAGACAUAUACAGAAAAAUGAGCUUGAGGAUUUAACUACAGAGAUUUCCAAGGAAAGCUAUGAGGUACCACCCAACAUCAUUUUAUCAUCUGUGCAAUGGUUUAACCACUUUGGCCGAGGUUUAGAAUGAAGUUAAAACUUUAGCUUCUCAGAAUUUAAAUACUUGCUUUUAUCGAAAUAAAUACAUACAUACAAAAACAAUAAAACAAGUAAAAAUAAAAAUAGGAAUGAAAUGAAUGCAAAGGCUAAGAUGGUGAAACAGAGAGUCUAGGGGCCACCAUGAGAAAGCAUGAAGAAUUAUUUCAGAGAUUAGGUCUAACCAUUACCCUCCAGCUUUUGACUGGCUGAAUUGUAGAAUUAUUAAAGAUAACACUGGUAUCUUCACUCCUGUCAUACUAAAGAACAGGACUUUACAGAGUGGUUAUUUUCUGCCUGUACCACAGCUAUCUGUUGACAGAGAAAUGCAUAAUUUGCCUAUUUUUGUUUCACAGCCCUGUAAAUGACAAUAGAUGGCACUUAAGUAAUUCUUCUUUACUGUUGAUAAGCAGGGUCUCCUGCACAUGUUGUAUAUUGAUUUUCUCCAAAUUGAAACAUUCCCUCUUGGAAGGAGGCUGGUGAAACUUUGUAGAAGAGGGAUUAGAAAGCUUGUGAGAGCUGCAGUACCAGGAAGUGGGCUAUGAGAUUUUGUCUCCUUGAAACAACAUAAAAACUUCACUCAAGAUACUCAAAUAAUAUGGCUACUUAAAUAAGACCUAAACAAAGAUAGCACCAAUAGAUAUGUUGUUACGGAAGAAGAAAAUUCCACAACACUAUACCCCUAGACUAAUAACUGCAGUAUUGUGAGUUGACAGUACACUGUGUGAAAAAUGUAUUGCUGUAGUUGAUGUAAUAAAGCUGAAUAGCCAAUAGCUAGGAAGGAGGUGUAGGUGGGAUUUCUGGAGAGAGGAUUCUAGGAAGAAGGACGGAGUUGACAACCAUACAGAGAGGAAACAGGAGGUACAAGAUGGAAGAAAGUUUCUUUCAGGGAAGAGGACUAAAUACUUCAAGCAUGCAGCAAUGGUCUUUGUGGAACCAUCUACCCCAUGAAGAGGAGUUGACAAAGGACAGGACUGUCUGGGUUUUAUAAUCUCUUUUGAUGCUGAUAGCCACCUACUAGCAUACCAGUCACAGAUAGGUCUACUUCCAGAGCUGGCCAGAGAUGUGUGGGCUUCCAGUCCUCGGCUGACCUUGAAGAAAAAGCCGUUAGGAUGCUCUCACAGAACUGGAGAUUGGGAGAAAGCAAAAGAAGGGCCAAAAUGUAUUGGAAGUUUAAUUUCCUAGACUGCUCAUCUUCAUACCCUGUCUGAAAGGUGUGGAUCACCAAGUCUGGUUUGGAUGGUGCUGAGGAUCAGACCCAGGGCUUGUCCAUGCUAACAAGUUUUCUGCAAGCUGAGCUGUAUCUUUAGUCAAAGCAACUUAGUUUAGAAUCCAGGGCACCACAGUGCUCACUGCCAAUCCAUUUCCCUUACAAAAUACCAGCGACUUUCCAAACCUGAGAAAUUUCCCUCAAAUUUUAUUCAUUUUUGUGGCAAUUUUCACACCUGGAUUUUUUGUUGUUGUUUUGUUUUGUUUUUUGAGAUAGGGUUUCCUCUGUGUAGUUUUGGUGCCUGUCCUGGAUCUCACUCUGUAGACCAGGCUUGCCUCAAACUCAAAGAUCUGCCUGGCUCUGCCUCCCGAGUGCUGGGAUUAAAGGCAUUUGCACCACCUGGAUUUUUUUUUUUUUUGAUACAUCUCCUUGGAUCUCUCGUAGAUGACAAGAAAUCAAUGGUUAGUAUGAUAAAUCUCCCUUAAUUGGACAAUAAUCUUUGUCACUGAGUGGAUUUUAGAAUGAUAUGAAACACCUCCGACUGAAGGUCAGGCCAGUCUUAAUCUACAACAGAAUCUGGACACCUCAGAAUGCUGUAUAAACUGGUUUUAACCAAGAACCAGUACAGUUUAUAUUCUUUGAAUCCUGCAACACUAUAAUCUAAGGUGUACUUAGAUUAUACUCUUUACUCUGGAUGUUUUUUCCCCAGGAUUUGAAUGAGAUGGUGAAAGAAGCAAGCAAAUGCCAUAACAGGCUGCCUAGUCUUCUUUUAGAGAUCAGGCGUCAAUUUCAGUUUCCUGAGACUGAGCAAGCAAUUUCUGGGAGGGCCAUGCACAAAAGAAAAUUAAUCACUGAUGACCCUGCCAUCAGGGAAAGGGAGAUAGGAUGUACCAAGCCUGGGCCACUGAGCUAGUCCCCACAGUCAGUAGUUGCUAGGCCAGCCUGCCUCCACAGCAUUUCAAGGACAAAGCCUGGGACUUGUCUAGGCCUGCCCAAAAGUGGGUAACUGUAACUCCCAACUAACCCUAGUCAAGUAAAAGUUAUUAACAUGAUUGCUUUUUGCAUAAACCAAUCCUGAGUCUGUUCCUAUGUAGUCUGUAGACCCCAAGACCUCCCUUGCUUUCCCACUAUAAAAAUUCUGUCCCAUUGCUACUCAGGGUCUCUCCUACUCUGCUGCUGCAUCAGAUGUACUGAGAGGCCUGGGUUAACUCACAGCAGUAAAAAGACUCUGUUUUUACAUCAGAUUUGGUCUCUUGAUGGCCUUUGGGGGACUCUGGGUACAACAUGUGGGAUGUCUCCUAAAUAUACAGCACUUUCAAGAUACCCAGAAACUUACUACGUAGCACAUAUGACUGUGUAAAAUAAAUUAACUUUAUUAGUGAGAAAUAAAGGGUGACAUUAGACAAUGUAACUUUGCCACAUAGUUAUAGAGAUCACAGAGAGCUUGAGAAAAUCAAAUGAAAUUAAAAUUAUUUUUCCUGUAAGCAUGUAUCUUGAAUUGCUGAAGGAAAGUAAUAACUUGUUUCUGUGUAUUACUGCAUGUGUUAAUGGAUAUUUUCAUUGACUUGGUGUUGAAUUAUUUCUGCCAAUUUUUCAUAAUUUGUAUAAUCUAAAUUGGUUUCUUGAAAAUGGUGAAUAAAAACAUUUUAAUUUA